UACGUAGGGUGCAAGCGUUGUCCGGAAUUAUUGGGCGUAAAGAGCUCGUAGGCGGUUUGUCGCGUCUGCUGUGAAAACUCAGGGCUUAACCCUGAGCCUGCAGUGGGUACGGGCAGACUAGAGUGUGGUAGGGGAGAUCGGAAUCCUGGUGUAGCGGUGGAAUGCGCAGAUAUCAGGAGGAACACCGGUGGCGAAGGCGGGAUCUCUGGGCCAUAACUGACGCUGGAGGAGCGAAAGCGUGGGGAGCGAACAGG
rnacentral:rRNA from 1 species